rnacentral:rRNA from 1 species
GGUUAAGCGACUAAGCGUACACGGUGGAUGCCCUGGCAGUCAGAGGCGAUGAAGGACGUGCUAAUCUGCGAUAAGCGUCGGUAAGGUGAUAUGAACCGUUAUAACCGGCGAUUUCCGAAUGGGGAAACCCAGUGUGUUUCGACACACUAUCAUUAACUGAAUCCAUAGGUUAAUGAGGCGAACCGGGGGAACUGAAACAUCUAAGUACCCCGAGGAAAAGAAAUCAACCGAGAUUCCCCCAGUAGCGGCGAGCGAACGGGGAGCAGCCCAGAGCCUGAAUCAGUGUGUGUGUUAGUGGAAGCGUCUGGAAAGGCGCGCGAUACAGGGUGACAGCCCCGUACACAAAAAUGCACAUAUUGUGAGCUCGAUGAGUAGGGCGGGACACGUGGUAUCCUGUCUGAAUAUGGGGGGACCAUCCUCCAAGGCUAAAUACUCCUGACUGACCGAUAGUGAACCAGUACCGUGAGGGAAAGGCGAAAAGAACCCCGGCGAGGGGAGUGAAAAAGAACCUGAAACCGUGUACGUACAAGCAGUGGGAGCACGCUUCGGCGUGUGACUGCGUACCUUUUGUAUAAUGGGUCAGCGACUUAUAUUCUGUAGCAAGGUUAACCGAAUAGGGGAGCCGAAGGGAAACCGAGUCUUAACUGGGCGUUAAGUUGCAGGGUAUAGACCCGAAACCCGGUGAUCUAGCCAUGGGCAGGUUGAAGGUUGGGUAACACUAACUGGAGGACCGAACCGACUAAUGUUGAAAAAUUAGCGGAUGACUUGUGGCUGGGGGUGAAAGGCCAAUCAAACCGGGAGAUAGCUGGUUCUCCCCGAAAGCUAUUUAGGUAGCGCCUCGUGAAUUCAUCUCCGGGGGUAGAGCACUGUUUCGGCAAGGGGGUCAUCCCGACUUACCAACCCGAUGCAAACUGCGAAUACCGGAGAAUGUUAUCACGGGAGACACACGGCGGGUGCUAACGUCCGUCGUGAAGAGGGAAACAACCCAGACCGCCAGCUAAGGUCCCAAAGUCAUGGUUAAGUGGGAAACGAUGUGGGAAGGCCCAGACAGCCAGGAUGUUGGCUUAGAAGCAGCCAUCAUUUAAAGAAAGCGUAAUAGCUCACUGGUCGAGUCGGCCUGCGCGGAAGAUGUAACGGGGCUAAACCAUGCACCGAAGCUGCGGCAGCGACACUAUGUGUUGUUGGGUAGGGGAGCGUUCUGUAAGCCUGUGAAGGUGUGCUGUGAGGCAUGCUGGAGGUAUCAGAAGUGCGAAUGCUGACAUAAGUAACGAUAAAGCGGGUGAAAAGCCCGCUCGCCGGAAGACCAAGGGUUCCUGUCCAACGUUAAUCGGGGCAGGGUGAGUCGACCCCUAAGGCGAGGCCGAAAGGCGUAGUCGAUGGGAAACAGGUUAAUAUUCCUGUACUUGGUGUUACUGCGAAGGGGGGACGGAGAAGGCUAUGUUGGCCGGGCGACGGUUGUCCCGGUUUAAGCGUGUAGGCUGGUUUUCCAGGCAAAUCCGGAAAAUCAAGGCUGAGGCGUGAUGACGAGGCACUACGGUGCUGAAGCAACAAAUGCCCUGCUUCCAGGAAAAGCCUCUAAGCAUCAGGUAACAUCAAAUCGUACCCCAAACCGACACAGGUGGUCAGGUAGAGAAUACCAAGGCGCUUGAGAGAACUCGGGUGAAGGAACUAGGCAAAAUGGUGCCGUAACUUCGGGAGAAGGCACGCUGAUAUGUAGGUGAAGCGACUUGCUCGUGGAGCUGAAAUCAGUCGAAGAUACCAGCUGGCUGCAACUGUUUAUUAAAAACACAGCACUGUGCAAACACGAAAGUGGACGUAUACGGUGUGACGCCUGCCCGGUGCCGGAAGGUUAAUUGAUGGGGUUAGCGCAAGCGAAGCUCUUGAUCGAAGCCCCGGUAAACGGCGGCCGUAACUAUAACGGUCCUAAGGUAGCGAAAUUCCUUGUCGGGUAAGUUCCGACCUGCACGAAUGGCGUAAUGAUGGCCAGGCUGUCUCCACCCGAGACUCAGUGAAAUUGAACUCGCUGUGAAGAUGCAGUGUACCCGCGGCAAGACGGAAAGACCCCGUGAACCUUUACUAUAGCUUGACACUGAACAUUGAGCCUUGAUGUGUAGGAUAGGUGGGAGGCUUUGAAGUGUGGACGCCAGUCUGCAUGGAGCCGACCUUGAAAUACCACCCUUUAAUGUUUGAUGUUCUAACGUGGACCCGUAAUCCGGGUUGCGGACAGUGUCUGGUGGGUAGUUUGACUGGGGCGGUCUCCUCCUAAAGAGUAACGGAGGAGCACGAAGGUUGGCUAAUCCUGGUCGGACAUCAGGAGGUUAGUGCAAUGGCAUAAGCCAGCUUGACUGCGAGCGUGACGGCGCGAGCAGGUGCGAAAGCAGGUCAUAGUGAUCCGGUGGUUCUGAAUGGAAGGGCCAUCGCUCAACGGAUAAAAGGUACUCCGGGGAUAACAGGCUGAUACCGCCCAAGAGUUCAUAUCGACGGCGGUGUUUGGCACCUCGAUGUCGGCUCAUCACAUCCUGGGGCUGAAGUAGGUCCCAAGGGUAUGGCUGUUCGCCAUUUAAAGUGGUACGCGAGCUGGGUUUAGAACGUCGUGAGACAGUUCGGUCCCUAUCUGCCGUGGGCGCUGGAGAACUGAGGGGGGCUGCUCCUAGUACGAGAGGACCGGAGUGGACGCAUCACUGGUGUUCGGGUUGUCAUGCCAAUGGCACUGCCCGGUAGCUAAAUGCGGAAGAGAUAAGUGCUGAAAGCAUCUAAGCACGAAACUUGCCCCGAGAUGAGUUCUCCCUGACCCUUUAAGGGUCCUGAAGGAACGUUGAAGACGACGACGUUGAUAGGCCGGGUGUGUAAGCGCAGCGAUGCGUUGAGCUAACCGGUACUAAUGAACCGUGAGG